AGCGAACGCUGGCGGAAUGCUUAACACAUGCAAGUCGCACGCCCUGGCAACGGGGAGUGGCGGACGGGUGAGUAACGCGUAGGAAUAUGUCCGAAGGUGGGGGACAACCCUGGGAAACUGGAGCUAAUACCGCAUGGGGGCGUGAGGCCCAAAGCCGUGAGGCGCCUUUGGAGUAGCCUGCGUCCGAUUAGCUAGUUGGUGGGGUAAAGGCCUACCAAGGCUGCGAUCGGUAGCNGGUCUGAGAGGACGAUCAGCCACACUGGGACUGAGACACGGCCCAGACUCCUACGGGAGGCAGCAGUGGGGAAUAUUGGACAAUGGGCGCAAGCCUGAUCCAGCAAUUCCGCGUGGGUGAAGAAGGUCUUCGGAUUGUAAAGCCCUUUCGGCGGGGACGAUGAUGACGGUACCCGCAGAAGACGCCCGCU
rnacentral:rRNA from 1 species